GAAAUGCGAUAAGUAAUGCGAAUUGCAGAAUUUUAGUGAGUCAUCGAAUCUUUGAACGCACAUUGCGCCCUUUGGCAUUCCGAGGGGCAUGCCUGUCCGAGCGUCAUUAUCAACCGUCAAGCCUGGCUUGCCGUUGAGUCUCGCCCCCGACCGGGCCGGCUCGAAAGGCAAUGACGGCGUCGGUCGGACCCUAGAUGCAACGAGCUUUCCAUAGCACGCAUCGAAGCGGCUGGCCGCGCCCGUCCCACCUCUAUUUUUUUAGGUUGACCUCGGAUCAGGUAGGAAUACCCGCUGAACUUAA
rnacentral:misc_RNA from 1 species